rnacentral:rRNA from 1 species
UACGUAGGGUGCGAGCGUUGUCCGGAUUUAUUGGGCGUAAAGGGCUCGUAGGCGGCGUGUCGCGUCGGGAGUGAAAGCCCGUUGCUUAACGGCGGGUUGGCUUUCGGUACGGGCAUGCUGGAGUGCGGCAGGGGAGACUGGAAUUCCUGGUGUAGCGGUGGAAUGCGCAGAUAUCAGGAGGAACACCUGUGGCGAAAGCGGCUCACUGGACCACAACUGACGCUGAUGCACGAAAGCUGGGGGAGCAAACAGG